AACAGGAUUAGAUACCCUGGUAGUCCAUGCCGUAAACGAUGUCUACUAGCCGUUGGGGCCUUUGAGGCUUUAGUGGCGCAGCUAACGCGAUAAGUAGACCGCCUGGGGAGUACGGUCGCAAGACUAAAACUCAAAUGAAUUGACGGGGGCCCGCACAAGCGGUGGAGCAUGUGGUUUAAUUCGAUGCAACGCGAAGAACCUUACCUACUCUUGACAUCCAGAGAACUUAGCAGAGAUGCUUUGGUGCCUUCGGGAACUCUGAGACAGGUGCUGCAUGGCUGUCGUCAGCUCGUGUUGUGAAAUGUUGGGUUAAGUCCCGCAACGAGCGCAACCCUUAUCCUUUGUUGCCAGCGGUCCGGCCGGGAACUCAAAGGAGACUGCCAGUGAUAAACUGGAGGAAGGUGGGGAUGACGUCAAGUCAUCAUGGCCCUUACGAGUAGGGCUACACACGUGCUACAAUGGCGCAUACAAAGAGAAGCGACCUCGCGAGAGCAAGCGGACCUCAUAAAGUGCGUCGUAGUCCGGAUUGGAGUCUGCAACUCGACUCCAUGAAGUCGGAAUCGCUAGUAAUCGUAGAUCAGAAUGCUACGGUGAAUACGUUCCCGGGCCUUGUACACACCGCCCGUCACACCAUGGGAGUGGGUUGCAAAAGAAGUAGGUAGCUUAACCUUCGGGAGGGCGCUUACCACUUUGUGAUUCAUGACUGGGGUGAAGUCGUAACAAGGUAGCCGUA
rnacentral:rRNA from 1 species